rnacentral:lncRNA from 10 species
GACUUGCUCGCGGUAGCUCUUUUCGUUGAGGCAAACCCCGCGGCCGUGCAGCAGGGCGUGCAGCGGCUUCUCCUCGUCCUGCCGGGGGAGGCAGCGCAGCCCCUGGGCGCAGCGCUCGGUGUAGACGCCGCACGACUGCCCCUCGGCCAGGGCGCAGGUCAUGCAGCAGCCGCAGCCCGGCUCCUUGACCAGCUCGCAGCCCAGGGGGCUGGGGGGGCACAUGGAGAGGGCUUUCUCGUCGCAGGGCUCGCAGUGCACGAAGGAGCCCAGGCUCUGGGCCGGCCCCGCAUAGGCGGCCAGCAGCAGGAGGACCGCGGGAGCGAGCCUCAGUGCUUUGAACGCCUCCUGCUCCAUCACAGUGACUGCUCAAGGCAGGACACCUGAUCCUAUCGGAAUCCACCCACGGGAACCAGCAAGUGAUUCUUGAACAUUUAUGCCAGAGAAAUGAAGACUUAUCUUGACAUGAAAAUGAAUGGACGUUUAUUUGUAAUAGCCAAACCUGGAAACAAUCCAAGUGUCCUUCAACAGAUGGGGCCUCCACGUGAAAAGUAACUACAAAACAGAACCAGA